rnacentral:ncRNA from 2 species
AUUAAAUUUGAAGCGCCAGAACCGGCUGAUUUAGAGGUUAUCUGACAUCAGACAUCAGACAUCAGACAACAUACUUCCAAUAUUUAGCCGGUUGACGAGGAGGGAGUUAAUCGAAGUUUUCGGCGGAUACUCCCCGGUUUAGCUGCAACCGUUAAAGGCACCGCAAAACUGACAGGUAACCGUCAGGAUAAAAGUGCCGGGCAGAAAAA